GCACUGCUGACGAGUCUCAAACAGGACGAAACAACUGUCUGGUGC
rnacentral:hammerhead_ribozyme from 1 species